CCGACGUGGACAUCCUGUGAGGUGGCCCUCAUACGGCUCUGUCCUUGUGGCAUAUGGGAGCGUAGCACUUUGCUGUGACGUACAGUCCCUUUCCACGACGUUGGAGAGCAUGCUCAGUCCCUGGCUCUUGGGCCAGUGAGGACGGGCGUCAUGUAUAUUCCUACAUCUUCCUAGAGUCCUCUGGGCCGUUACUGGGGAGCUAAACCAUACAGUGCACAUUA